CCUUGUCGAGAAUUAUGUCUUUGUUGCUGUCAGCCAGGGUAUGCAUUUGUUUAGCUCAGUCUUCAAGUCAUAAAAUACUGUAUUAAACUAAAGCCGUCUCUUAACCCUGAAAAACAUUUUUCAACACAGUUAUUGUGCCAUAGGGAAAAUGUACACAAAAGUAACGUAAAGACAUUGUGUUUUUAAUCUAAUUAUUUGAAUGGAGGCUAAACUUCAUAAAAGAUAGGGAUGGUUUGUUGCAGCACUUACCCAAUUUCACUGGAUUGAUAAAGCACCCAAUUUCACUGGACUGAUAAAGCUUGUUCACUUGUACAUAUGCAUUUAUUUACUGUGUUCGUCAUACAUUC
rnacentral:lncRNA from 1 species